AUGCAAGCUUUCUCAGACAGUGUCUGUUUCUUCCUGUGGUUCUGACACUUCGUGGAACUUUCUCUACACUCCGUGUGGCCACCGCGCACCAUCCCUGGGGCCUCAUCGUUCAAUGUCAUUUCCUCCUGGAAGCCUCCCCCAGCCCCCAGUCCGAGGGAGGUCGCCAUCUGUCGUGGCUUUCAAAUCUGUCAGCUUGACAAGAGGCACUGCGUCUCCUGGAACUCCCUUCCCUGUCCCUCUCCAGCUGCUCCAACCUCGGAUGUAAAAACAACACCAUGACAGAAGCUGCUUAGAUGCUUAGCCAGCUCCCACAAUUGCAUGAGGACAGAGAAACUUAUUCUCAUGGUUCUGGAGACUGGGAAGUCCAAGACCAAGGCUCUGGCAGAUUUGGUGUCUGCUGAGAGCCCUGUUCCUCAGUGAUGACCAUCUUCUCACGGUGUCCUCACCGGGUGGACAGGAGAGGGAGUGAUCUCGGGUCUCUUGUAUAAGGGCACUAGUCCCAUUCAUGAAGGCUCCAUCUCAUGACCGCACCACCUCCCAAAGCUCCUAUCUCCUGAUAUCAUCACACUGGGGGUAGGUUUCAAUGUAUGAAUUUAGAGGGGACACGAAUAUUCAGCCCAUAACACCACCCGUGUCUUUGUUUCUUAGCAGCUCUGCUUCUCUGAACCCUGACAGACCAUCCUAACAGCUCCUCAGCUAUCCAGACUUCUGAUCGUAGCCUUUACGACGCUCGGCAGUAAUUUUGUGUAAUUUCCCAAGCAAUCACUUAACUGUUCAAGCUUUCCUUAGUGUGACAUCCCAUGUAUUUGUUUGAGAGCAGCACUUCACGAGGGUGGGGACUCAGCAUGGCUUGUCCUCAGCUGUAUUCCCUGGGAUGACAUAGUCUCUGGCAUCAACUAGGUGCCCAGCAAAUAUUUGCUGCAUGAAAAACAGAGUGAGUUUUAUUUCCUUUGAAUUUUUGUUUCCCUUGUUUAGCAGGAAUUUGUUUUGACGCUUUAUAGCUAGGACAUGGGCUCAUUUCUUGUGCACAUACAAGGAUGAAAAAGGUCAAUGCGUAGUAAUUGUGGGAAGAAAUAAACGUCUGGUUCUAGAAUCUUUCAGAAAAAUAAACUGGUUUAAAGCA